AGUGAACGCUGGCGGUAGGCCUAACACAUGCAAGUCGAACGGUAGCACAGGAGAGCUUGCUCUCUGGGUGGCGAGUGGCGGACGGGUGAGGAAUACAUCGGAAUCUACUCUGUCGUGGGGGAUAACGUAGGGAAACUUACGCUAAUACCGCAUACGACCUACGGGUGAAAGCAGGGGAUCUUCGGACCUUUAGCGAGUGAAUGAGCCGGUUUGGGAUUAGCUAGGUGGCGGGGUAAAGGGCCACCAAGGCGACGAUCCGUAGCUGGGCUGAGAGGAUGAUCAGCCACACUGGAACUGAGACACGGUCCAGACUCCUACGGGAGGCAGCAGUGGGGAAUAUUGGACAACGGGCGCAAGCCUGAUCCAGCCAUACCGCGUGGGUGAAGAAGGCCUUCGGGUUGUAAAGCCCUUUUGUUGGGAAAGAAAUCCAGCUGGCUAAUACCCGGUUGGGAUGACGGUACCCAAAGAAUAAGCACCGGCUAACUUCGUGCCAGCAGCCGCCGUAA
rnacentral:rRNA from 1 species